UUCUAACCUAUUAGGAGGAGCACAGAUGCCUCCAUCAUUUGCUGGCAUGGAGAUAGGAGUCUUUUCUGUACAAUGAUACAAACCCUUUACUAAUUUAGUUUUGGGGGCUGGAGAGAAACCUUUGUUUAUUGAGGCGGAGAGGAAAAUUCCACCUCAGUUUCUUUAGGCUAUCUUUUUUUUUUUUAACUUUUCUUUUUUAAAUUGCAGUAACUAUAUAUAGCAUAAAACUUACCAUUUUAAUCAUUUUUUAAGUGUAAAAUCCAGCAGCGUUAAUUACAUCCACAAUGUUGUGCAACCAUCACCACUAUCUCCAAAAUUUUCCAUCAUUCCAAACAGAAACUCUGUAUAACCCAGCCCCCUGGUAACCUCUAUGCUACCAUCUAUCUUUAUGAAUUUGCCUAUUCUAGGUUACUACAUAUAAGUGAAAUUAUACAAUAUUUGUCCUUUUGUGUUUGGCUUAUCCACUUGUCUUUAGGCUCUCAUUUCUAAAGCCUUCUAGGCCAAUAGCAACAUCUGAAAGUCAUGAAAAAAAUGUAAAUUUAAAAUAUUUCACUGCAUAUCAAACCUGGUGACACCAGAAAAAAAAUAUGUAUUACAUCUAAAAGGAACAGUGGCUGCUGAAUUUUCCAGAACCCAUGACUGGUAACUGUACCAAAGCCUUCAGUUACUGGGUUGUUACAGCAGGGAGGCACAUUUUGUUAGAGUGGAGAAGAAAGUCAUGUGAAAUCUGACGCCUUUCAAAUAUCACUGCUGCAAGAUUACUGACAUGGAAACAGUGUUAGGGACCCAGCUUCAAAACUCAGCCUGACUCAGUGUUUGCUUCUUUCAUCAUCUGUGACAGAUAUGGUUGCCGUGGGCACAAUUUAAUGGGAAAACUCGCCCAAAUUUUAGUUUCCCACACAGAUAUGACUGGCACAUAUGCCCCCAAAGGACAUUUUGUUUUUCACCAGAGGAAUUACUGCACACUGAUAUUGUUUUUGUCAUGCUUUGCAUUUCUUUCUGGAACUUAAAACAUCUCCAAGUGUGUUUGUAGGGAAAUGGAUACGUGUGCAGUGACGUGAGUUAUAGCAUACCUAAAGAGAUUAAACCGUCUCUUGUUAUUUUUAUUGAUUUUUCCAUUGCCAACUAGAAUUAGUUUCAAGGGUUUAGCAAUUGUAGGAAAACUCAAGACAGGAUUGAUAACAAGUGGAUUAUUUUUCAUGCUUUCUUGAGUAGCUGUCACUAUUGACAGAUACCCUAGAAUGUAGUUAUGCAAGAAGAUGCUAAAAUGUCAGCAUUUCAUUAAAAAUACACUUCUAGAGAUAACAAGGUGACUAUUUAGCAUACCCAAAGCUCAGAGAACACCAAUAUAUUUUCAAGAAUGUCCCCAGAGAGCUGAAGAGCAAAACAUCUUCAUGGAUUGAUUCACCUUUUCAGCAUCUGCAAAAGCACAGUAAAGGCAACUCUUAAAUUUCUCAGAAGUGACCACUUCUAUGAGGGAAUUGUGGCUAUAACAUAGCUGUCAAACUGAAUUGCUUGUGACCAAACUCAACCACCUGCUGGUAGGCACUGGGAAUCUUGGCGGGUUUCAGAGAGGUUUAAGCGACUCAAGGAACUCAGAACCAUACUAUGUUGCUGCGUAGCCUCAUCUGACCUGCUUGAGAUUCAGAUGAAGGAGAGAAGGGAGAAAUUAGCCACUUGGAAGACCCUCCGAGAUGCCUUGGAGUCAUGUAGUUGUUCUCCUUGGAAGGGAACAGUGUUUUAUACACCAGCAGGGAAAGGGCUGGUUAUCUGAUGAUACUUAAAACACUGGGAUUGUUGAGAAGAAAUUUGUCAGCUUGCAUAUGCUCAGAAGGCAACACCAAUUCAUAUCUAUCCUCAUUGUUUUUCAACAAGACUCAAGAUUCCACCCUGGCUGUUUUUUGGCACCUAUGAAUCAAGCUUUUGGAAGGUGCAGGACUUCUGGAGAUUUGGGUUUUUCUCUGGGACUAUACAUUGCAGGAGAAUGGAACCAAAGGCGGGCAAAAAUAAAAGCAGAAUCUGGUGCUCUGUACUCCCUUAUGAAUUCUCAUGAAGAAUGUAGGCUACUUCUGAGGCCAAUGCCCAAUAGCUCCUGGAGGGAGCCUCGUCUUAUUUCUCAGGCUCAUGGAUGUGAAGACUGGGCUUGGCUUCCUACUCUUCUGUGUUUAGAGAUCAGUCUUUAAGACAGCUGGGUCAGAUGAAAGAUUGUUCUUUGAAGGACUCACAGAUAAGUGGUUAAUAACUUGUCCCUACAAAACAUAGAAAUCUGUAAUUAUUUCCAUUUAAAUAAAUGUCUCUUCUGUAUGCUACAAUAAAUUAUUUUUAGGUCAUUCAAUUUAAUUAAAAUCCAAGAUAUUCAAAAGCCAGUUCCCUUCCCUCAAAGGCUUUUAAAGGCCUUUAAAGAUGUCCAUAAAGAUGAAUUCAUAGACCCAUAGAGCCUUUUAUUUAAACAUAUUCUCAGAGUGGC